rfam:Helianthus annuus linkage group 13, whole genome shotgun sequence.
AGUCGAUUGUGCGGACACUUUUUUAAAAGUUCCUUAAAACGUUCUCAUGUUUAAUAUAAAGAUUCCCCAUCAUCUUGUUGAAGAUAAUUAAUUUCAGUCAUUAAUUU